UACGUCCACACCAGAAGCGAAUUGAGCGACCAAAUCGCCGGAAGUCAUUCAAUCUCUAUGGGCAAGAGCGACCAAAGUUGAGCGACCAGAGCGUCCAAAAAAAGUUGAAAACUUUUUAACUUUAUGCAAAUUACUAUGACGCGCUUCAGCGGCCAAACACUGACAGCCAAUCGGAAUGUAGACGCUCUUCGCUUGCGUGGAUCCCAGGGAACACCGGCAGGCACUUUGGUUCCUACCUACCUUUAUUCACUCACUGAACAAAAUGUCGGCUGAAGUAUUAAUCGCGGCUGUAACUGGGCCCCCGGUGUUGUACGACCCAACCCUUUUUCAGUUCAGAGAUCGAAACGCCAAGGCUCUGGCCUGGGCGGAGGUGUCACGCGUGGUUGGUUGGUCUGCUUUUAUCCAAAGCAACUUACAAUAAGUCAUUUGACAUAAGAAGUGAAACAAUAUAUUGCUGUAAGUGACAUAUAUAAUGAUAAUGACAGCUGUGUUUUCUGUUUUGUGUUCAAUAGUUAAUGAGUGCAUCAAGAAAUGGAAGGGUCUGAGGGACACCUACAGGAAGAAUAGGAAAAAGGAAAAGGAAAGGAGGAGGAGUGGUGCAGGGGCAGGUGGAGGGAAGCCAUGGAAGUAUGCCCGCAUAAUGGCCUUCAUAGAUCCAUUCAUGGAAGACCGCCAUAGCCAGACCAACAUGGCAGGGCCAGUGAGUGAGAGUGAGGAGGACACAGACCAGGCAGCACCAGGGAGAGCAACGAUCGAGGACCAGGAGGCACCAGGGAGAGCACAGGCCGCUGACCAGCUAGCACCACAGGCCGAGGAGCAGGCAGCAGGAAAGAGCAGGAGAAAGACAGGACGAGGCAGAGACCAGACUCGUGAUGCUCUUGAUGCGGAGAGGCUCAUCACAGCUAUAGAGGCUGUUAGCAAUCGAGUAGUGAGUCAGAGUCAUCCAGAGGACUCUGACUCACUAUUCUUUCGAAGCCUCCAAGAGGAUUUCAAAAAGUUGUCUCUUAAGACUAGAGGGUCUAAAGUUCGAAAUGUACAGGAUGGUGUACGAGGCCAAGUGUCGUGAGGUUGACA